AGAGAGAGACAUGCGCGCAUAUCAAUAAGCGGAGGAAAAGAAACUAACUAGGAUUCCCUCAGUAACGGCGAGUGAAGCGGGAAGAGCUCAAAUUUGAAAUCUUCAAGGUUCUACCUUGACGAAUUGUAGUUUAAAGAAGUGUUUUCUGUUGGAGUUUUGGUAAAAGUUCUUUGGAAUAGGACAUCAUAGAGGGUGAGAAUCCCGUAUUUGACCAUUAUUUCAGCUGUGUGAUACACUUUCAAAGAGUCGGAUUGUUUGGGAAUGCAGUCCAAAAUGGGUGGUAAAUUUCAUCUAAAGCUAAAUAUUGGCGAGAGACCGAUAGCGAACAAGUACCGUGAGGGAAAGAUGAAAAGAACUUUGAAAAGAGAGUUAAACAGUACGUGAAAUUGUCAAAAGGGAAGCGUUUGACACCAGUGUUGUUUUCUCGAAAAUCAAUUAAAAAGAGUUAGAUUUUGUUGUGUAUUGACCUUAACAGCUUGCAUUUCAAUUUUCUUGCUUUUUUUAAUGCACUUUUCGUUUAACAAGUCAACAUCAGUUUCUUUUGUUGUAAAAAGGUCAUUGGAAGGUGGCUUUCUUUUCGGAGAAAGUGUUUAUAGCCUUUGCCUCUGCAAUCGGAGAGAUUGAGGUCUGCAGCGUAGAUCCUUCGGGGUUAGAUACAUUUGUGCUAAGUUAUAGCCUUUUCAUAGACAACUUGUUGACUAUGAUCAGUCAUGUAGCUUACUCGCUUAUGCUAUUUUACCUACGCUUAGGAUGUUGAUGUGAUACUGCGAGCA
rnacentral:rRNA from 1 species